rnacentral:lncRNA from 10 species
GAACGAAGCCCCGCCCCGGAACGAAGCCCCGCCUCCAGCAACUCUCUGCCCGGAGAGAGGCCCGACAGCUGCGACCCGACUGGUUCUGUCCGAGCCCGACGGGCCGCGCUGACCCAGCGACUGUGCCUGACUGACCACAGGGAGGAGACUGUGCACAAUCAUGGAGGGCAGUGGCAAGUCUGGUGGAGAGGGAAGGAGGUCAGGAAAUAAACGAGAGAGGAAAAUUAAGAGGUAAGGAUGUGAUAGAGGGAAGUAUUGAAAGAAAGCUCAGGGAGAGUGAAAAGGAAGGAAAAGGGGAGAGAGAGGAGGUAAAAGUGAAGGAAAGAGGUUGAGUGCAGUGGU